CAACCCACAUGAGUGGUUUGUGGCAGUGUUGACUGCUCUCGCUGUGUCACCCUCUGCGCUCCGACUCCCACACACCACGGGGAAGCUCGAAGACGAUGGAGAAUAUCCACAAAUAUUCUGCAGAAGGUGCACAAGGCCAAACCUCAAAGGGAUUUUUGUCACACACAUUUCAGUGCUGCAAGUCCUGGAUUAUCUCUGAAGCCUUUAUGUACACACCAAAGAUAUCAUGACCAGAAUCCUCUGACAGUGAAUGCGUGAUUUCCACUCAUUAAUGAUCAAGACUUUAAUAACCGUAUGACAGGACUACACUCUGCAGUAAUUCGUCAGUAAGGCCACAUCCGAAUCUGACGGCCUUUUGCCAGAUACUUCCCCCUUCAUGGGACUUCUCUUUUGGAUAAACUGCCUAAUUGCGACACAUAUAGUGCAUCCAUCAUCAGUAUUGAUAUUAUAUUUGGUUUAGUAUUCAUUCAGUCUCUAGGAAAUAGAGCAAAUCAUUUUCAUUGCAUAUCAAACUGGAGACCUAGACUAUCUCUGUAUCGUAAUUAAUUUAUAGCUAGUGCCUAAAUAAUUGUUUUAGAGUAUUUCCAAUGGUAAAUGUUUUGUCAAAUCCCCAUUUUGGUAUGUCUGUAAAAAAGGUUUCCUUUUUGUGAUAAUAAAUGUUUCUUCUACAUUUAAC